rnacentral:lncRNA from 1 species
AAGAAUUAAACAACGACCUGUUCCGGAAAACGAUGGGACCCGUCAAAAAAGCCAUGGAGGAUGCAGGAAUGAAAAAGUCACAGAUCGAUGAAAUUGUCCUUGUCGGCGGGUCAACUCGAAUUCCUAAAGUUCAAGCGCUACUAAGAGAAUAUUUUGACGGUAAAGAACCAAACAAGGGAGUCAACCCCGACGAAGCAGUUGCAUAUGGCGCAGCUGUGCAAGGAGGAAUCCUCUCUGGGGAAGGUGGAGAUGAAACAAAAGACAUCUUGCUUCUUGAUGUUGCUCCCCUCACUCAGGGAAUCGAAACCGUCGGAGGAGUUAUGACAAAGCUGAUUCCUAGGAACACUGUGAUCCCGACCAAAAAAUCACAGACAUUUACCACUUAC